rnacentral:rRNA from 1 species
GGCGUGCUUAACACAUGCAAGUCGAACGAAGCACUGGAGUGGAAUCCCUUCGGGGAGGAAGCGCCUUUGACUGAGUGGCGGACGGGUGAGUAACGCGUGGGUAACCUGCCCCAUACAGGGGGAUAACAGCCGGAAACGGCUGCUAAUACCGCAUGUACAUGCGGGGGCGCAUGCCCCUGGAUGGAAAGCAUUAGCGGUAUGGGAUGGGCCCGCGUCUGAUUAGGCAGUUGGCGGGGUAACGGCCCACCAAACCGACGAUCAGUAGCCGGCCUGAGAGGGCGACCGGCCACAUUGGGACUGAGACACGGCCCAAACUCCUACGGGAGGCAGCAGUGGGGAAUAUUGCACAAUGGGGGGAACCCUGAUGCAGCGACGCCGCGUGGGUGAAGAAGUAUUUCGGUAUGUAAAGCCCUAUCAGCAGGGAAGAAAAAUGACGGUACCUGACUAAGAAGCACCGGCUAAAUACGUGCCAGCAGCCGCGGUAAUACGUAUGGUGCAAGCGUUAUCCGGAUUUACUGGGUGUAAAGGGAGCGCAGGCGGCACGCUAAGCCUGAUGUGAAAACCCGCGGCCCAACCGCGGGAGUGCAUUGGGAACUGGCGGGCUGGAGUACCGGAGGGGCAGGCGGAAUUCCUAGUGUAGCGGUGAAAUGCGUAGAUAUUAGGAGGAACACCAGUGGCGAAGGCGGCCUGCUGGACGGAGACUGACGCUGAGGCUCGAAAGCGUGGGGAGCAAACAGGAUUAGAUACCCUGGUAGUCCACGCCGUAAAC